AAUUUUGGACAAUGGUCGCAAGCCUGAUCUAGCCAUGCCGCGUGAGUGAAGAAGGCCUUCGGGUUGAAAAUAUCUUUUGGACGGAAAGAAAUCGCGCAGGCUAAUACCCUGCGAGGAUGAAGGUCCCGUCAUAAGGAGCAACGGCUAACUACGUUCCAGCCGCCGCGGUAAUACGUAGGGUGCGCUCGUUAAACGGAAUUCCUGGGCGUAAAGCGUGCGCAGGCGGUUGAUUAAGACAGGCGUGAAAUCCCCGGGCUUAACCUGGGAACUGCGCUUGUGACUGGUCAGCUAGAGUACGGCAGAGGGGGGUGGAAUUCCACGUGUAGCAGUGAAAUGCGUAGAGAUGGGAGGAACACCGAUGGCGAAGGCAGCCCCCUGGGCCGAUACUGACGCUCAUGCACGAAAGCGUGGGUAGCAAACAG
rnacentral:rRNA from 1 species